AGAUGAUCAAGACGUGAAGCACAGCCCACACUUGGCAAAUGGGAUCCCUGGGGUGCGCUCCUGAGAGUGCUUAGAGCGGUGAAUGGAUGCUGGGUCAUCAUGGAGGUUGUUGCGAGGAGAAAGAUUUGCAAUGAGGAAAUAUAUGAUAAUUAUCCAGGGAAAUGGCAUGAUUAUAAGCAGCCUCCAGCCUGGAGUCAACAUCCUGUGAACAAGUGUUCCAAAGACCCAAUAG